rnacentral:rRNA from 1 species
CAGGAUUUAGAUACCCUGGUAGUCCACGCCGUAAACGAUGUCGACUUGGAGGUUGUUCCCUUGAGGAGUGGCUUCCGGAGCUAACGCGUUAAGUCGACCGCCUGGGGAGUACGGCCGCAAGGUUAAAACUCAAAUGAAUUGACGGGGGCCCGCACAAGCGGUGGAGCAUGUGGUUUAAUUCGAUGCAACGCGAAGAACCUUACCUACUCUUGACAUCCAGAGAACUUAGCAGAGAUGCUUUGGUGCCUUCGGGAGCUCUGAGACAGGUGCUGCAUGGCUGUCGUCAGCUCGUGUUGUGAAAUGUUGGGUUAAGUCCCGCAACGAGCGCAACCCUUAUCCUUUGUUGCCAGCGAUUCGGUCGGGAACUCAAAGGAGACUGCCGGUGAUAAACCGGAGGAAGGUGGGGAUGACGUCAAGUCAUCAUGGCCCUUACGAGUAGGGCUACACACGUGCUACAAUGGCGCAUACAAAGAGAAGCGACCUCGCGAGAGCAAGCGGACCUCAUAAAGUGCGUCGUAGUCCGGAUCGGAGUCUGCAACUCGACUCCGUGAAGUCGGAAUCGCUAGUAAUCGUGGAUCAGAAUGCCACGGUGAAUACGUUCCCGGGCCUUGUACACACCGCCCGUCACACCAUGGGAGUGGGUUGCAAAAGAAGUAGGUAGCUUAACCUUCGGGAGGGCGCUACCAC